GAUGAACGCUGGCGGCGUGCUUAACACAUGCAAGUCGAACGGUGAAGCUCCAGCUUGCUGGAGUGGAUCAGUGGCGAACGGGUGAGUAACACGUGAGCAACCUGCCCCUGACUCUGGGAUAACAGCCGGAAACGGCUGCUAAUACCGGAUAUGCACCAUGAACGCAUGUUCUGUGGUGGGAAAGAUUUUUCGGUUGGGGAUGGGCUCGCGGCCUAUCAGCUUGUUGGUGAGGUAAUGGCUCACCAAGGCGUCGGCGGGUAGCCGGCCUGAGAGGGUGACCGGCCACCCUGGGACUGAGACACGGCCCAGACUCCUACGGGAGGCAGCAGUGGGGAAUAUUGCACAAUGGGCGAAAGCCUGAUGCAGCAACGCCGCGUGAGGGAUGACGGCCUUCGGGUUGUAAACCUCUUUUAGCAGGGAAGAAGCGAGAGUGACGGUACCUGCAGAAAAAGCGCCGGCUAACUACGUG
rnacentral:rRNA from 1 species